CUUGCAACACUAGAAUGUCUAUGCAUGCUAUAUUCAGAAGCUAAAUAUCACCUCAUAACACAGAGGCCACAUUCAAGAAUCAUAAUCCAUCAUUAACUUCCAUCAGAAUGCCUCAACGCUCGUAAAAUGUUUAAAGUAGGAGCUAUGGAAGAUGCUAUGUGUCAAAUGGACCGACUUUUCUUUAAGCUACUGGAUGGCGUUUGGUUGAGGAACCUGUACAAGUUGGAGAUGACAACCACAUAACCUACAUUAUAUGCUUUGCCCAUGCAAGAUGAGUAUUAAUCAAAGGACCAAAUCAGUGCCUGAUGUACACCUUUUUAUAUGUUCCAUGAUUUAAAAUGGAUAGGGAGAAAAAAAUCAAAAGAACAAUA